rnacentral:rRNA from 1 species
GAUGAACGCUGGCGGCGUGCCUAAUACAUGCAAGUCGAGCGAACAGACGAGGAGCUUGCUCCUCUGACGUUAGCGGCGGACGGGUGAGUAACACGUGGAUAACCUACCUAUAAGACUGGGAUAACUUCGGGAAACCGGAGCUAAUACCGGAUAAUAUAUUGAACCGCAUGGUUCAAUAGUGAAAGACGGUUUUGCUGUCACUUAUAGAUGGAUCCGCGCCGCAUUAGCUAGUUGGUAAGGUAACGGCUUACCAAGGCAACGAUGCGUAGCCGACCUGAGAGGGUGAUCGGCCACACUGGAAGUGAGACACGGUCCAGACUACUACGGGAGGCAGCAGUAGGGAAUCUUCCGCAAUGGGCGAAAGCUUGACGGAGCAACGACGCGGGAGUGAUGAAGGUCUUCGGAUCGUAAAACUCUGUUAUUAGGGAAGAACAAAUGUGUAAGUAACUAUGCACGUCUUGACGGUACCUAAUCAGAAAGCCACGGCUAACUACGUG